UAUAAUUCAUUCUUUGUCUUUUAUGGCAGUCUCUUUUGAGCCUAUUUUCUGUCAAAGACACACCAAACAUACGGAUGAAGAUCAUUUCUUCCAAGUGAUGUCAUCUAAUGAUAAGGCUAAUGGCAACACUGGAAAGACUCCUGCAUAGUACAGUGGUAUAAAGCAUUCAUAAGUAAUUUAA